UACACCGCUGGACGUUGAAAAACGUAUAUGCCGCCAUAACUGGUAUGGCUAGUGGAAAUUAACUUGAUGCAGGACAGACAGUAAAGCGGUCGCACCUGCUGUCUGUAAAGGAUAGAA
rnacentral:ncRNA from 1 species